rnacentral:rRNA from 1 species
AUUGAACGCUGGCGGCAGGCCUAACACAUGCAAGUCGAACGAGUGGCGGACGGGUUAGUAAUGUCUGGGAAACUGCCCGAUGGAGGGGGAUAACUACUGGAAACGGUAGCUAAUACCGCAUACCAUCGGAUGUGCCCAGAUGGGAUUAGCUAGUAGGUGGGGUAAGGGCUCACCUAGGCGACGAUCCCUAGCUGGUCUGAGAGGAUGACCAGCCACACUGGAACUGAGACACGGUCCAGACUCCUACGGGAGGCAGCAGUGGGGAAUAUUGCUCAAUGGGCGCAAGCCUGAUGCAGCCAUGCCGAGUGUAUGAAGAAGGCCUUCGGGUUGUAAAGCACUUUCAGCGGGGAGGCGUUACCCGCAGAAGAAGCACCGGCUAACUCCGUGCCAGCAGCCGCGGUAAUUC